UUUUUAGCCUUCCAUAUAUUUUGCAGGUCAUGGCCAACUUGAAAAAUAGCCUGAGUUUUUCACGUAAUGUAUCUAAUUCAUGAAUUUGUUUUUUUUUUCUUUUUCUUUUUCUUCUAUGAAUUGUUUAUCAUUUGAGCUAAUGGUCUUUCAGGAAUGGGCCACAAACAUGGGACCCAAAGACGAUCCUUGGUUGAGGUCAUGGAUUUGACCCAAAUCAUCCAAUUACGGAAAAAGAGGCCAUUAUUACUGACUCAAUCACGAUAAUCAACCUUCACAUUAAAGAGACAGCCAUGAUAUGAUUGGAUAUGAGGUUGUUGUAUUCCGUCCCCUUGAGAAGACACAGGUUAUGGACCUAGACAAAUGAUGGUUGGAUGGAGGGAUUUCUUUUAUAUGUAUUUAGAAUAUUUUCA